rnacentral:lncRNA from 1 species
UGUUUCGAACUUACAUAAGCAGAGUUGCUGCUUCAACAAGACUCCUUGUGUUUCUUUUGGGCCCUUGACACUCGCCAUCCCGCUCAGCCAUGGAGAGACCCCGGUGGGACCGGCGCCUCUCUCCUCUUGUCUGGACCUGCCACCAAGGAACGAUAAAACUACUUGCUGGAGUCCAGAUCCAACAUGAUCUGAGGAGGAAAUGCGGAGUUGGCAAGAGGAAGACACACAGAUAAGUGAAGAUGUAGAACUCUCAGCUUCUCCUGCACCAUGCCUACCUGGAUGCUGCCAUGCUCCUGAAUGCUGUCCUAAUAAGAAUUGCCUUGGUCAUGGUGUCUGUUCACAGGAGUAAAACCCUAAGACAACAAUGAAGACAUAGAAGACAAGAGGGGAUCCAUGUCAGGCAGACUGUGGACUAAAUAGCUUAUAAAACAAUAAAACAUAAUUCAUUCAUAAUUGCUUUCAGAUUUGUGCUGAAAAUGUAACU